AACGAACGCUGGCGGCAUGCCUAACACAUGCAAGUCGAACGAGACCUUCGGGUCUAGUGCCGUAUGGGUGCGUAGCGCGUGGGAACAUGCCCUUAGGUUCGGACUAUCUCCCCGAACGGGGUGCCAAUACCGGGUAAUGUCUUCGGGCUAAAGAUUUAUCGCCUUGGGAUGGGCCCGCGUUGGAUUAGCUAGUUGGUAGGGUAAACGCCGACCAAGGCGACGAUCCAUAGCUAGUCUGAGAGGAUGAUCAGCCACACUGAGACUGAGACACGGCGCAGACUCCUACAAGAUGCAGCAGUGGGGAAUAUUGGACAGUGGGCGAGAGCCUGAUCCAGCAAUGCCGCGUGAGUUAUGAAGGUCUGAGGGGUGUAAAGCACUUUUACCCGGGAUGAUAAUGACAGUACCGGGAGAAUAAGCUCCGGCUAACUCCGUG
rnacentral:rRNA from 1 species